rnacentral:lncRNA from 1 species
GUGAAUGUCCAGUCGAGACAAUGUAGCUUCACCCCCUCUUUAUACAGACAAGAGAAAGGGGGAGGAGAGGGCACAACAGAAGGAGUGGUGUAUUCGACAUCAACUGCGGCCAGACUUGACAAGAUUGCAGUGGGGCAGUAGUCAGAUUCUAUCUGUUUGUACCUUGGGUUGGUAAUCAGCCGUGGGAUGUCAGAAACUGUAGUGGAUGUAGUGGACCAGAUACGGAGGGAAAAACAACAAACCAGUGUUCCAGGAUGCACAGCAUGAAGUUGAAGUUGUAAUGUAGUCAAAGAGUGGCGACCUUUACAAAUUAAAUUCAUGUGGUAGUUUUGGUCUGUUGUUACUUAAUUGCCAUACUUAGGAAUGAUGACUUUACUAUUAGUAUACGUAAAUGUGUAUAAAUGACAUUUGUACAUUUUUAAUUAUAAAGAAAGCGU